GAUGAAGAACGUAGUGAAAUGCGAUAAGUAGUGUGAAUUGCAGAAUUCAGUGAAUCAUCGAAUCUUUGAACGCACAUUGCGCCCUUUGGUAUUCCAAAGGGCAUGCCUGUUCGAGCGUCAUUUGUACCCUCAAGCUUUGCUUGGUGUUGGGCGUCUUGUCUCUAGCUUUGCUGGAGACUCGCCUUAAAAUAAUUGGCAGCCGGCCUACUGGUUUCGGAGCGCAGCACAAGUCGCACUCUCUAUCAGCAAAGGUCUAGCAUCCAUUAAGCCUUUUUUUCAACUUUUGACCUCGCAUCAGGUAGGGAUACCCGCUGAACUUAAGCAUAUCAAUAAGCGGAGGA
rnacentral:misc_RNA from 1 species